rnacentral:rRNA from 1 species
GCAGAAUUCAGUGAAUCAUCGAAUCUUUGAACGCACCUUGCGCUCCCUGGUAUUCCGGGGAGCAUGCCUGUUUGAGUGUCGU